rnacentral:rRNA from 1 species
UACAGAGGUCUCAACCGUUGUUCGGAUUCAUUGGGCGUAAAGGGCUCGUAGGCGGCCAACUAAGUCAGACGUGAAAUCCCCAGGCUCAACCUGGGAACUGCGUCUGAUACUGGAUGGCUUGAAUCCGGGAGAGGGAUGCAGAAUUCCAGGUGUAGCGGUGAAAUGCGUAGAUAUCUGGAGGAAUACCGGUGGCGAAGGCGGCAUCCUGGACCGGCAUUGACGCUGAGGAGCGAAAGCCAGGGGAGCAAACGGG